rnacentral:lncRNA from 1 species
GAUUUUACAUGCUUAAAUGUACUCAGUUCCCCUUAGAUUAAAAUGCUGUGGUGACUUGCUGUCACUUAGAACCUGGAAAUAAGUAUGUUCUAUCUACUUGGUCAACUUUCUAGCCAGUAUAAGAGCUAGUAGCAGUUGUGAUUGUCACAAAUAAGUAAAAUAAGAUUCAUGCUCCCUCUCCAGAGUUACAGCAUUUUUCACAGAUUAAAAAGAAAGAAAUAAGAGGGGAAAAAAGAUUAAGAAGUGAGUGAACUGAGCAGUGGCAUGUGUAAAAUUGGAGAUUCCAAAGUGAAUGGUAGCUUCCAGGAACUCCGCGGCAGCGUCAAGUCAAAGGCUAGCCAGGUACCGCUCCCGUUCUUCCUGUGGAGGAAGCGGGACUCUGUCUAGAGCCGCUGUUGACUGUGGCCUGUAGCUUGUAGCGUUGAUUUGUGGAGUGUGUUUAACAGGAUUGAAUAAACACUAAUGGGAGGUAAAUAACCCUUUUCUUUCUCUUUUCUCUGUUUUUAAAAUUAAGUAAACAUUUAAAUCAAAAGUUGGACAUGUACUUAUUUAAAAGUCAGAACUUUAUACUUUACUAAUUUUCUUAGAGAAUGCAUGUUUAUAUCU